rnacentral:tRNA from 1 species
GGGGAGGUGGCAGAGCGGUCAAAUGCAGCGGACUGUAAAUCCGCCGACGAAAGUCUACGUGAGUUCGAAUCUCACCCUCCCCACCA